UGGGGAAUUUUGGACAAUGGGCGAAAGCCUGAUCCAGCAAUGCCGCGUGUGUGAAGAAGGCCUUCGGGUUGUAAAGCACUUUUGUCCGGGAAAGAAAUCCUUGGCUCUAAUACAGUCGGGGGAUGACGGUACCGGAAGAAUAAGCACCGGCUAACUACGUGCCAGCAGCCGCGGUAAUACGUAGGGUGCAAGCGUUAAUCGGAAUUACUGGGCGUAAAGCGUGCGCAGGCGGUUUGCUAAGACCGAUGUAAAUCCCCGGGCUCAACCUGGGGAACUGCAUUGGUGACUGGCAGGCUAGAGUAUGGCAGAGGGGGGUAGAAUUCCACGUGUAGCAGUGAAAUGCGUAGAGAUGUGGAGGAAUACCGAUGGCGAAGGCAGCCCCCUGGGGCCAAUACUGACGCUCAUGCACGAAAA
rnacentral:rRNA from 1 species